GAUUUAUUAUGGUAAAUAUUAAGAGCAGAAAGCAUGUGUAACUGUGUCACACAGUGAUUACAUCCAGGCAUUAUUGCCAGCCAAGAUUGAUAAAUAUGCCCAAUAAGUAUAACUGUUCUCUGUGUUGUUCCUUGUUGAAGGAAUACUCAUGGCAAUGGUGAUCACCACUAUCAUAUCUAUCAUUAAAUUACUCAUUGUGACUGGUUGUCCCACUUUCCUCAGGUUUUCUUCCACCAUCUGUGACAGCUUCUUGAUCUGUCCCCAGGUAGGUGGCUGUGUUCGACAGCUGUUGCUCAUGAUAGUUGGGGUCCUCCUCAGCAUCAGUCUUGACAUGGCUGCAACCAGGGGAUCCUCGGGAUCCUCCUGGAAUCUCUUCCUCAGCAUCUGGCUCGUGGCAAGGUUUCAGGUGUCUUGAUGGCACCCAAAUUGGCUAUUGAUUCGGUCCUGGAGAAACACAAGCAUAACCUCUACCCCAAGUUAUUAUUUUACCUAUUUCCCAACUUUUUGUUAUUGUAUCUCUCCACCAAACCAGUUGUUCUGCUUCUGUCUUUGCAGCUGGUUUCUGUAGAUGCUGUUCAGCUGCUGGCCUUUAAGCAGGCUCAAAAAAUUUAAAGUCAAUAAUGCUAGAAUCAAUUGCAUAUGGGGUGUCCCGUAGUCCCUGCUUCUCCCCUUUUGCUUUUGCAACUGCUGUUUCAGGGAGAGAUUCAUUCUUUCUACUAUGGCUUGUCCUUGAGAAUUAUAUGGGAUGCCAGUAAUGUGUUUAAUAUUCCAUAUAGAGAAAAAUGUAGCUAGAGCUUGGCUAGUACAGCCUGGGGCAUUAUCUGUUUUAAUAGAAGCUGGAAUGCCCAUCACCGCAAAACACUGCAAAAGGUGACGUUUAACACAGGCAGAAGACUCUCCUGAUUGGCAUGUAGCCCAGACAAAGUGAGAAAAGGUGUCCACACAUACAUGUACAUAAGCUAGUCUCCCAAACGAGGGAACAUGUGUGACAUCCAUUUGCCAAAGAGAAUUAGGUUCCAAUCCUUGAGGAUUAACUCCUCCUGUAAAAGAUGAGGAAUGCACCAUUUGGCAAGUUGGGCAUCGCUGGAUAAUAGCUUUAGCUUCUUUCCAGGUAAUGCCGUAUCUGUGUUUGAGACCAGAGGCAUUAACAUAGGUUAAAUUGUGAAAGUGUCUAGCGUUAGAUAUUGCAUUAGCAACUAGGUGAUCAGCCAUUUGAUUCCCUUCAGUUAAAGGUCCUGGAAGAGGUGUAUGAGCCCUAAUGUGAGUGAUGUAAAAAGGAUGCAUUCUACUCCUGACUGCUGUUUGCAAUUGGGUAAAUAAAGCCAUCAGUUGCUCAUCUGUGUGGAAUCGUA
rnacentral:lncRNA from 1 species